rnacentral:rRNA from 1 species
ACAGGCCAGCAUCGGUUCGGACGGACGGAUAAAGACCUUGGGAAYGUGGCNGCCUUCGGGVAGUSUUAUAGCCCUCGGUGCAAUGCCUCCNGCCNNGACCGANGACCGCGCUUCGGCUAGGAUGCUGGCGUAAUGGUYGUAAGCGACCCGUCUUGAAACACGGACCARGGAGUCUAACAUCUAUGCGAGUGUUUGGGUGUCAAACCCAUGCGCGKAAUGAAAGUGAACGGAGGUGAGAACC